rnacentral:piRNA from 1 species
GCCAGCCUGGUCUACAUAGUGAGUUCCA